rnacentral:rRNA from 1 species
UACGUAGGGGCCGAGCGUUGUCCGGAUUCAUUGGGCGUAAAGAGCGUGUAGGCGGCCAGAUAGGUCCGUUGUGAAAACUGGAGGCUUAACCUCCAGCUGUCGAUGGAAACCAUCUGGCUAGAGUCCGGAAGAGGAGAGUGGAAUUCCUGGUGUAGCGGUGAAAUGCGCAGAUAUCAGGAAGAACACCCGUGGCGAAGGCGGCUCUCUGGGACGGUACUGACGCUGAGACGCGAAAGCGUGGGGAGCGAACAGG